rnacentral:tRNA from 1 species
GUGGAUGUAGCUCAGUCGGUAGAGCGCUUGACUGUGGAUCAAGUGGUCGUGGGUUCAAAUCCCAUCAUCCACC